UACAAAUCAUUGGUCUGUAAAGGAACGUUUUAAGGGGAGGGGGGCAGUUGUAGGCCUACUAACUUUCAUGAUUUUGAAAUGAGAUCUUCAUGGAAGAAAAUAAGCCUAGGCCUAAAGGCUACUGCGAGUUCAAUCUUUCAAUCGACUUCAAAAUAGGCAUUGCAAUGUCACACAUUUUCUGUACUUGAAAAGCUCAUAGGAAUCUAAUUAGCAUACACAAAUUGCAUUAUGGGACAUUUUCUUGAUUUUAUAUCAUUGUUUUUACCUGUAUGGUGAUAUAAAGUUUCAAGUGUAAAUGGAAGGUUUUGUCAGGUUUCCUGUAAGGUGGAAUAUAUUGCACAACUACAAAACGCAUGAUUGAUUGCCUCAGUGUGAGGAUAUCUAGGGGUCCCACUAACCAUGUCACCAAAAACCAGAACCUGCUGAUAAAGAAAUUCCCAAUUGUCCUUAAAAUUUAACCCAAAUGAAAAAAAAGUGUCUAGGCCUACAUGAUCCAACACAUCUGCCAUGACUGCAGUAGAGUAGACUAGAGUCAAAUUCCGCUCCAAGUGUAAAGGGACACCCUUCUAUUUGACCUGCCCACAGCCCACUUUAUUCGAGACAACAUCUGUGACAACCAAACAGUUUUGCCAAAAACACAACCGUUUGUUUUCUUCUUCUACUCCUUGAAGUGAACAAUAUGUCACUUCAUUUUCCCGCUAGUUGCUAUAAGAAAAAAGGGGAGAGGGACAAGGAGUCUGUCUGGCUUUUUGCAGAAAAGCAAAAUAUCGUUUGGGAAUGGAGCUAUUGUGAGUGUAGGCUACCAAAAAGCAAUAUCGAAGCAUUUUGUCUCUCAGAAAAUAAUGUCUGAUCAGCUCACCCGUCAACAGACGUCAUCGCCCCCCAAACGCUGUCAAACAAAGCUGAAGUGGAAUGGUCUUUCAGCUUUCAGAGGGUCUCUCUGGGAAUACCGCCUUCUACUUAUUUAAUCACCAUAUCCCCGAGAGCUCGAGCCUCUUCAUUAAUUAUCGGCGCCAAAACAUUCAGCCGAGCUGUUUCUGUGUAGGAUGUGAGCGAGGCGUUAGCUCUGUUUUGGCGCGCAUGGGACUCUAUAGGGCUAGUGACCGCUCCGGAUAACAUUUUCACAAAUUACCCACAUUUUCCCCCUAAAAACCGAAUCGGUGUCAGGGCUCAUCUGACGUGUGGCGUUUCGGUUGGCUUGGAAGAUCUUCAGUGCAAAGAACAAGCAUAAGAGGAUCCCACGGAGGUGUGUAAUAUGGCUGUGGCUGUGACAGUGAUUGGGGAGGAAGCCUGGUUCUCAGGGGGAAAUCCCACUGAGCUCCCUCAAGGAGAGAUGUCCCCUCCUGGGGGGAGAGACUGACAGAGUCCCCUGCUUCUCAACCACCGCUGGAACAUUGGACUGGAUGCUCCAGCAUAGCUCAGAGAACACUGCUAAACACUCCAGCUGCAGGUGUCCCAGCUGUUUCUGCUGUAGAGGAUCAUGGAAAGAUAGAUAGCUGCAGACUGUCGGAACAUUUGGGAAAAUCUGUAGUGGAAGGAGCAGAAAUAAAGACCUUAUUUAUUCAUUUGUAAUUCCCAUAAUGUCUGUUGAAAUAGGGGUAGGUUAGUAAAUGCUUAGCAGGGAAUGGUAUAUUUUAGUAAACUGGUAAGAUCUCUC
rnacentral:lncRNA from 1 species